UACGAAGGGGGCUAGCGUUGCUCGGAAUCACUGGGCGUAAAGCGCACGUAGGCGGACUCUUAAGUCGGUGGUGAAAUCCUGGAGCUCAACUCCAGAACUGCCUUCGAUACUGAGAGUCUCGAGUCCGAGAGAGGUGAGUGGAACUGCGAGUGUAGAGGUGAAAUUCGUAGAUAUUCGCAAGAACACCAGUGGCGAAGGCGGCUCACUGGCUCGGUACUGACGCUGAGGAACGAAAGCCAGGGGAGCAAACGGG
rnacentral:rRNA from 1 species